GGAUAACCGCUGAAAGCAUCUAAGCGGGAAGCCCCCUUCAAGAUGAGAUCUCCCUUCUAUUCUUCGGAAUAGAAUAAGGCCCCUGGAAGACUACCAGGUUGAUAGGCUAUAGGUGUAAGUGCAGUGAUGUAUUAAGCCAAGUAGUACUAAUAGGCCGAGUGACUUGACACA
rnacentral:ncRNA from 1 species